CCUACGGGUGGCAGCAGUGAGGAAUAUUGCUCAAUGGACGAGAGUCUGAACCAGCCAAGUAGCGUGAAGGAUGACUGCCCUAUGGGUUGUAAACUUCUUUUAUAUGGGAAUAAAAUGUUCCACGUGUGGGAUUUUGUAUGUACCAUAUGAAUAAGGAUCGGCUAACUCCGUGCCAGCAGCCGCGGUAAUACGGGGGAUCCGAGCGUUAUCCGGAGUUAUUGGGUUUAAAGGGAGCGUAGGUGGAUUGUUAAGUCAGUUGUGAAAGUUUGCGGCUCAACCGUAAAAUUGCAGUUGAAACUGGCAGUCUUGAGUACAGUAGAGGUGGGCGGAAUUCGUGGUGUAGCGGUGAAAUGCUUAGAUAUCACGAAGAACUCCGAUUGCGAAGGCAGUUCACUGGACUGCAACUGACACUGAGGCUCGAAAGUGUGGGUAUCAAACAGGAUUAGAUACCCUUGUAGUC
rnacentral:rRNA from 1 species